AAUCGGUGUACGAAAUCCGGGACGUGUUCCCGGUUUCAAGCCGAGGGGGAUGAGCCUCAGUAACAGCGGCCGUAAAUAGGCCGGAAAACUGAAAAAACAAUUGGACGGGUAGAGUUUGGUAGGUGUCCGCUUAGGGCAUUCGAAGAAGUCGGGCCCG
ncrna:unclassified sequences RT-3 RNA